AUUGAACGCUGGCGGCAUGCCUUACACAUGCAAGUCGAACGGUAACGCGGGGCAACCUGGCGACGAGUGGCGAACGGGUGAGUAAUACAUCGGAACGUGCCCAGUAGUGGGGGAUAGCCCGGCGAAAGCCGGAUUAAUACCGCAUACGACCUACGGGUGAAAGCGGGGGCUCGCCAGACCGCGCCCUAUUGGAACGGCCCAUGUCAGAGUAGCUAGUUGGUGGGGUAAAAGCCUACCAAGGCGACGAUCUGUAGCUGGUCUGAGAGGACGAACAGCCACACUGGGACUGAGACACGGCCCAGACUCCUACGGGAGGCAGCAGUGGGGAAUUUUGGACAAUGGAGGCAACCCUGAUCCAGCCAUGCCGCGUGCGGGAAGAAGGCCUUCGGGUUGUAAACCGCUUUUGUCGGGGAAGAAACGGUCUGCGCUAAUACCGCGGACUAAUGACGGUACCCGAAGAAUAAGCACCGGCUAACUACGUGCCAGCCGCCGCGGUAAAAC
rnacentral:rRNA from 1 species